rnacentral:rRNA from 1 species
UACAGAGGCCAAGAGCGUUGUUCGGAAUCACUGGGCGUAAAGGGAGCGUAGGCGGGACGUCAAGCGCGGAGUCUAAUGCCGGGGCCCAACCCCGGCGCUGCUUUGCGAACUGGCGUUCUUGGAUGUGCGAUGGGUCGGCGGAAUUCCUGGUGUAGCGGUGGAAUGCGUAGAUAUCAGGAAGAACACCGGUGGCGAAGGCGGCCGGCUGGCGCCACAUCGACGCUGAGGCUCGAAAGCGUGGGGAGCGAAC